rnacentral:misc_RNA from 1 species
ACAAACUUGGUCAUUUAGAGGAAGUAAAAGUCGUAACAAGGUUUCCGUAGGUGAACCUGCGGAAGGAUCAUUAACGAAUUUUGGGGGGGGAUGGGUUGGGGAGUGGUGGGAGGUUGAUUGAUUGAUUGAUGACCACUACGAACCAACAUCCACAUUGACUCGGAUGGGAGAGGGAGAUUUCUUUGAUUUUUCUCCUUCCAUCUUGAGCACAUUCACGCUUGUAUUGUUUGACUGUUUAAAAUCAUUUAUUAUUUUACACAACUUUUAACAAUGGAUCUCUUGGCUCUUGCAUCGAUGAAGAACGCAGC